AUGGAGCCUCUGGGGGCUGCCAUUAGGGCAGACACAGGGGUGGAAGGCUUGUUGAUCCCUGGAAGCGGUGGGCUGCGUGUUAAGAUGACGCAGUACGCCGACGACACUUCCUUGCUGUUGUGCAAGGACUCGUGCCUGACAAGGUCCCUUGCCAUCUUUGGGGAUUUCACCCGAGCGUCGGGAGCAGUUCUGAACCAUGCAAAGUCUUCCGUCAAGUUUUUCGGAAGAUGGCGCGGUAGAACGGAUGUGCCUGGGGGGUUAUCUCUCUGUGAAGGGGCCCUGAGGAUUCUCGGGGUUCAUUUUGAGACCUCCGGCUCAGCUACGCUAAACUGGAACAUGCGUAUCGCAGUGGUACAUAGGAAGCUAGCAAUGUGGAAGGCUAGGUAUUUGUCUUUUAUGGGCAAAGUCCUGGUCCUAAAGGUGGAUGUGUUGCCGUCUCUUUUGUAUGUGGCAUACAUCUAUCCAUUGCCGGCUUGUCUGAGGAGGCCUCUAGUGAGGCUUGUGUUUCAGUUUAUGUGGAGCGGCAGGUGCGAGUGGGUCGCCAGGGCACGCAUGAUCUGUCCCAUCGGGGAGGGAGGUAGGGGGGUACCACAUUUCCCCCUCAAGCUGGACGCCAUUUUUGUUUCUUUCUUGUUGACGGAGCUUGCUCGUCCGGUUAUACACCCGUCCGGUUACCUCCUGCGGGUGUUCUUCUCGUAUAAGGCGAGAAGCGUAAUGGUGCGGUCUAACGCGGGUCCUCGGGCGGAACAGCUGCCGUGGCAUUUUGGCCAUGCGGCCAAGUGGCUGCGUGCGCACCCCGAGGUUGAAGUUGCCCGAGUAGGUUUAGACCACAGGCACCUGUACGAGGAGGUCAGGCAGGCAGGGAGUCCUGCGCCUGUAGCGGGCAUCUCGUCAGUGGUCUGGGAGGGAGUGCAGGCGCGGGGCCUGGACAACAGGCUCAAGGACCUGAAUUGGUUGGGCCUCCAUAAGUGCUUGCCGGUACGUGCCAUCUUGUACCGGUAUAGUUUGGUGCAAUCCCCCACCUGUCCAAGAUCCUCUUGUGGCAGGGAGGAGACUNNNNNNNNNNGCAGGUGCGAGUGGGUCGCCAGGGCACGCAUGAUCUGUCCCAUCGGGGAGGGAGGUAGGGGGGUACCACAUUUCCCCCUCAAGCUGGACGCCAUUUUUGUUUCUUUCUUGUUGACGGAGCUUGCUCGUCCGGUUAUACACCCGUCCGGUUACCUCCUGCGGGUGUUCUUCUCGUAUAAGGCGAGAAGCGUAAUGGUGCGGUCUAACGCGGGUCCUCGGGCGGAACAGCUGCCGUGGCAUUUUGGCCAUGCGGCCAAGUGGCUGCGUGCGCACCCCGAGGUUGAAGUUGCCCGAGUAGGUUUAGACCACAGGCACCUGUACGAGGAGGUCAGGCAGGCAGGGAGUCCUGCGCCUGUAGCGGGCAUCUCGUCAGUGGUCUGGGAGGGAGUGCAGGCGCGGGGCCUGGACAACAGGCUCAAGGACCUGAAUUGGUUGGGCCUCCAUAAGUGCUUGCCGGUACGUGCCAUCUUGUACCGGUAUAGUUUGGUGCAAUCCCCCACCUGUCCAAGAUCCUCUUGUGGCAGGGAGGAGACUGCGCCAUGCCUUUUGGGACUGUGCCUUUGCCGGACUAGUCUGGGCUAG
rnacentral:lncRNA from 13 species